rnacentral:RNase_P_RNA from 1 species
GUUGGGGGAUGGAUAGCCGCUCGCGCAGGCGAGAGGAAAGUCCGGUCUCCACAGGGCAACGUGCCGGCUAACGGCCGGGGGGGAUCUCUUAAAGGGAUCUUUACGGAAAGUGCCACAGAAAAUAUACCGCCGGAUCUAAUCGUCCGGUAAGGGUGAAAUGGUGCGGUAAAAGCGCACCGCGGCCGGAGCAAUCCGGCUGGCAGGGCAAACCCCACGCGGAGCAAGACCAAAUAGGGGAGGAGGAGCGGCUCGCUCCGUUACAACUUCCGGGUAGGUCGCUCGAGCCGCACAGUAAUGUGCGGCCCAGACGAAUGGCUAUCGCCCGCAAGGGUACAAAAACCGGCUUAUAGUCCUCCAUCUGCC